rnacentral:rRNA from 1 species
UGGGGAAUAUUGCACAAUGGGGGAAACCCUGAUGCAGCGACGCCGCGUGAGCGAAGAAGGUUUUCGAAUCGUAAAGCUCUGUCCUAUGAGAAGAUAAUGACGGUAUCAUAGGAGGAAGCCCCGGCUAAAUACGUGCCAGCAGCCGCGGUAAUACGUAUGGGGCGAGCGUUGUCCGGAAUUAUUGGGCGUAAAGGGUACGUAGGCGGUCUAUUAAGUCAGGUGUGAAAGGCAUGGGCUCAACCCAUGUAAGCACUUGAAACUGGAGUGCUUGAGGGAAGGGGAGGAAAGUGGAAUUCCUAGUGUAGCGGUGAAAUGCGUAGAUAUUAGGAGGAAUACCGGUGGCGAAGGCGACUUUCUGGACUUUUUCUGACGCUGAGGUACGAAAGCGUGGGGAGCAAACAGG